UGUGGGGUAACGCUACCCAUCAAAGGGGGAUAACACUUGGAAACAGGUGCUAAUACCGCAUAACAGUUUAUGCCGCAUGGCAUAAGAGUGAAAGGCGCUUUCGGGUGUCGCUGAUGGAUGGACCCGCGGUGCAUUAGCUAGUUGGUGAGGUAACGGCUCACCAAGGCCACGAUGCAUAGCCGACCUGAGAGGGUGAUCGGCCACACUGGGACUGAGACACGGCCCAGACUCCUACGGGAGGCAGCAGUAGGGAAUCUUCGGCAAUGGACGAAAGUCUGACCGAGCAACGCCGCGUGAGUGAAGAAGGUUUUCGGAUCGUAAAACUCUGUUGUUAGAGAAGAACAAGGACGUUAGUAACUGAACGUCCCCUGACGGUAUCUAACCAGAAAGCCACGGCUAACUACGUGCCAGCAGCCGCGGUAAUACGUAGGUGGCAAGCGUUGUCCGGAUUUAUUGGGCGUAAAGCGAGCGCAGGCGGUUUCUUAAGUCUGAUGUGAAAGCCCCCGGCUCAACCGGGGAGGGUCAUUGGAAACUGGGAGACUUGAGUGCAGAAGAGGAGAGUGGAAUUCC
rnacentral:rRNA from 1 species